AACGAACGCUGGCGGCAGGCCUAACACAUGCAAGUCGAGCGGGACCUUCGGGUCUAGCGGCGGACGGGUGAGUAUCGCGUGGGAAUAUGCCCUUCUCUACGGAAUAGCCUCGGGAAACUGAGAGUAAUACCGUAUACGCCCUUUGGGGGAAAGAUUUAUCGGAGAAGGAUUAGCCCGCGUUGGAUUAGGUAGUUGGUGGGGUAAUGGCCUACCAAGCCGACGAUCCAUAGCUGGUUUGAGAGGAUGAUCAGCCACACUGGGACUGAGACACGGCCCAGACUCGUACGGGAGGCAGCAGUGGGGAAUCUUAGACAAUGGGGGAAACCCUGAUCUAGCCAUGCCGCGUGAGUGAUGAUGGCCUUAGGGUUGUAAAGCUCUUUCAGCUGGGAAGAUAAUGACGGUACCAGCAGAAGAAGCCCCGGCUAACUCCGUGCCAGCCGCCGCCGUAAGAC
rnacentral:rRNA from 1 species